UACGAAGGGGGCUAGCGUUGCUCGGAAUCACUGGGCGUAAAGCGCACGUAGGCGGAUCUUUAAGUCAGGGGUGAAAUCCUGGAGCUCAACUCCAGAACUGCCUUUGAUACUGAGGAUCUUGAGUCCGGGAGAGGUGAGUGGAACUCCGAGUGUAGAGGUGAAAUUCGUAGAUAUUCGGAAGAACACCAGUGGCGAAGGCGACUUACUGGACGACUGUUGACGCUGAGGUGCGAAAGCGUGGGGAGCAAACAGG
rnacentral:rRNA from 1 species